UAAGCGACUAAGCGUACACGGUGGAUGCCCUGGCAGUCAGAGGCGAUGAAGGACGUGCUAAUCUGCGAUAAGCGUCGGUAAGGUGAUAUGAACCGUUAUAACCGGCGAUUUCCGAAUGGGGAAACCCAGUGUGAUUCGUCACACUAUCAUUAACUGAAUCCAUAGGUUAAUGAGGCGAACCGGGGGAACUGAAACAUCUAAGUACCCCGAGGAAAAGAAAUCAACCGAGAUUCCCCCAGUAGCGGCGAGCGAACGGGGAGGAGCCCAGAGCCUGAAUCAGUGUGUGUGUUAGUGGAAGCGUCUGGAAAGGCGCGCGAUACAGGGUGACAGCCCCGUACACAAAAAUGCACAUGCUGUGAGCUCGAUGAGUAGGGCGGGACACGUGGUAUCCUGUCUGAAUAUGGGGGGACCAUCCUCCAAGGCUAAAUACUCCUGACUGACCGAUAGUGAACCAGUACCGUGAGGGAAAGGCGAAAAAGAACCCCGGCGAGGGGAGUGAAAAAGAACCUGAAACCGUGUACGUACAAGCAGUGGGAGCACGCUUAGGCGUGUGACUGCGUACCUUUUGUAUAAUGGGUCAGCGACUUAUAUUCUGUAGCAAGGUUAACCGAAUAGGGGAGCCGAAGGGAAACCGAGUCUUAACUGGGCGUUAAGUUGCAGGGUAUAGACCCGAAACCCGGUGAUCUAGCCAUGGGCAGGUUGAAGGUUGGGUAACACUAACUGGAGGACCGAACCGACUAAUGUUGAAAAAUUAGCGGAUGACUUGUGGCUGGGGGUGAAAGGCCAAUCAAACCGGGAGAUAGCUGGUUCUCCCCGAAAGCUAUUUAGGUAGCGCCUCGUGAACUCAUCUCCGGGGGUAGAGCACUGUUUCGGCAAGGGGGUCAUCCCGACUUACCAACCCGAUGCAAACUGCGAAUACCGGAGAAUGUUAUCACGGGAGACACACGGCGGGUGCUAACGUCCGUCGUGAAGAGGGAAACAACCCAGACCGCCAGCUAAGGUCCCAAAGUCAUGGUUAAGUGGGAAACGAUGUGGGAAGGCCCAGACAGCCAGGAUGUUGGCUUAGAAGCAGCCAUCAUUUAAAGAAAGCGUAAUAGCUCACUGGUCGAGUCGGCCUGCGCGGAAGAUGUAACGGGGCUAAACCAUGCACCGAAGCUGCGGCAGCGACGCUUAUGCGUUGUUGGGUAGGGGAGCGUUCUGUAAGCCUGUGAAGGUGUGCUGUGAGGCAUGCUGGAGGUAUCAGAAGUGCGAAUGCUGACAUAAGUAACGAUAAAGCGGGUGAAAAGCCCGCUCGCCGGAAGACCAAGGGUUCCUGUCCAACGUUAAUCGGGGCAGGGUGAGUCGACCCCUAAGGCGAGGCCGAAAGGCGUAGUCGAUGGGAAACAGGUUAAUAUUCCUGUACUUGGUGUUACUGCGAAGGGGGGACGGAGAAGGCUAUGUUGGCCGGGCGACGGUUGUCCCGGUUUAAGCGUGUAGGCUGGUUUUCCAGGCAAAUCCGGAAAAUCAAGGCUGAGGCGUGAUGACGAGGCACUACGGUGCUGAAGCAACAAAUGCCCUGCUUCCAGGAAAAGCCUCUAAGCAUCAGGUAACAUCAAAUCGUACCCCAAACCGACACAGGUGGUCAGGUAGAGAAUACCAAGGCGCUUGAGAGAACUCGGGUGAAGGAACUAGGCAAAAUGGUGCCGUAACUUCGGGAGAAGGCACGCUGAUAUGUAGGUGAAGUCCCUCGCGGAUGGAGCUGAAAUCAGUCGAAGAUACCAGCUGGCUGCAACUGUUUAUUAAAAACACAGCACUGUGCAAACACGAAAGUGGACGUAUACGGUGUGACGCCUGCCCGGUGCCGGAAGGUUAAUUGAUGGGGUCAGCGCAAGCGAAGCUCUUGAUCGAAGCCCCGGUAAACGGCGGCCGUAACUAUAACGGUCCUAAGGUAGCGAAAUUCCUUGUCGGGUAAGUUCCGACCUGCACGAAUGGCGUAAUGAUGGCCAGGCUGUCUCCACCCGAGACUCAGUGAAAUUGAACUCGCUGUGAAGAUGCAGUGUACCCGCGGCAAGACGGAAAGACCCCGUGAACCUUUACUAUAGCUUGACACUGAACAUUGAGCCUUGAUGUGUAGGAUAGGUGGGAGGCUUAGAAGUGUGGACGCCAGUCUGCAUGGAGCCGACCUUGAAAUACCACCCUUUAAUGUUUGAUGUUCUAACGUUGACCCGUAAUCCGGGUUGCGGACAGUGUCUGGUGGGUAGUUUGACUGGGGCGGUCUCCUCCUAAAGAGUAACGGAGGAGCACGAAGGUUGGCUAAUCCUGGUCGGACAUCAGGAGGUUAGUGCAAUGGCAUAAGCCAGCUUGACUGCGAGCGUGACGGCGCGAGCAGGUGCGAAAGCAGGUCAUAGUGAUCCGGUGGUUCUGAAUGGAAGGGCCAUCGCUCAACGGAUAAAAGGUACUCCGGGGAUAACAGGCUGAUACCGCCCAAGAGUUCAUAUCGACGGCGGUGUUUGGCACCUCGAUGUCGGCUCAUCACAUCCUGGGGCUGAAGUAGGUCCCAAGGGUAUGGCUGUUCGCCAUUUAAAGUGGUACGCGAGCUGGGUUUAGAACGUCGUGAGACAGUUCGGUCCCUAUCUGCCGUGGGCGCUGGAGAACUGAGGGGGGCUGCUCCUAGUACGAGAGGACCGGAGUGGACGCAUCACUGGUGUUCGGGUUGUCAUGCCAAUGGCACUGCCCGGUAGCUAAAUGCGGAAGAGAUAAGUGCUGAAAGCAUCUAAGCACGAAACUUGCCCCGAGAUGAGUUCUCCCUGACUCCUUGAGAGUCCUGAAGGAACGUUGAAGACGACGACGUUGAUAGGCCGGGUGUGUAAGCGCAGCGAUGCGUUGAGCUAACCGGUACUAAUGAACCGUGAGGCUUAACCU
rnacentral:rRNA from 1 species